CGCCCGCGCGCGGCUGUGGCACCUGUGGGGCGGGAGUUGGAAACGGCCGUUGCUGCGCCCUCGCCUCGCGCCUUCCCUCACGUUGAGGAGAGGCUGCUGUGGGAUGGCGGACGCUCGGUCCUCUCGUACCUUACGUUGGUUUCACCCGGUAGAGCAGGAUUUGAUGAACGGUCUUAACGUAAUACGUAUUUUAACGUGUGGUUUUCGUUCUCGAAGAGACGUUUCGUAGGAAAGCGCCUAACAAGGUAAAAUUCACAAGUUGACUUACAGCUCUUUAUUCAUUUUUAAGCAAAAUCAUCCUUGGAAAACAGUAGGCCCAGUUGCUGGAAUUAUUACAGCUGAUUUUGCCCCAGGCACAGUUCACUGGGGAGCUGGUACCUGGGGUUCCACUGAUAUCCCUGUCACUGGCAAGAAUUGUAACAGGACACUUAGCAUCUUGUUAAUCUAACAGCUUCAUUGAGGCCAAUGGAAAUAACUCUUCAAUAGCCACAUUCCACUUACCUGCCCAUUGCAUAAACUGCCUUCUCAAACAUGAGGAUGCUUUGGACUCGAUCUAUCUAGCAGCAGAAAGAGCUGGAGAAUGGAGCAACAACUGUAUUAUUGAAGAGCUCCAUAGCCACAGACUGGGAAAAGCAUGAUCGGAUGUGAUUUUCAGAACAGAUGCCCAAGCAGAGUUGGCAGUUAAUUAAAAGCACUAUGUACUUAAUGAUUAACUAAUCACAGCAUGAUGGCAUUCAACGGAGAUGCAAGAAACUUCUCUGCUGGAUUCAAGAGAGAAACUCCUAAUGUCUGCCUUCAGGGAAGUAGAUGGAACAACAGGACUGGGCAGCAUCUCUGUGGUAGCAGCAGCUGUUCAGCACACUUUCCCAUUGAGACAGGUCUUUGCCCCCUCAUCACCCUAAUAACCACCUUCUGCUCACUCUGCACUCUCUCCAGUCUUCUUGCACUAACUUCCCAGUCCUCAGCAGAACAAACGAGCAGUGAGCUGCUUGGCAAAGCACAGAAGAUAAAGGUGUCAAGAAGAGAUUCAAGUCUUUGGUGUCUGCUGGAAGCAAAGAUGACUUCUGGAUCCAUGUGGCACUACUGCAGUUUUCUGGUGUCGCUGCAGACAAGAGGAGUUUGUCUGCCCUGUGGCUGCCAGCAUGUAACUCAGCAGAUCUGGGACCUUGUCCUAGGGAUUUUCACAUGGACAGUAAGGACAAGGCAGCCCAAGUAGUGUUCUUGGUCACUGUCCAGAAGCCUUAAAAAGUAAGGAACAUGUAAAAUCCCUUGAUUUUCA